rnacentral:pre_miRNA from 14 species
UUUUUGAAUGUGCUACUGAAAGAUCCCGGAAGGGAGACCCUUACUCAAGUCACAGGAAAUCGCGGACCCCAGACACAGAGAGACCA